rnacentral:tRNA from 1 species
GGGCAUGUUCCCAGGUGGUAAUGGGACAGGACUGCAAAUCCUGAAUUCGUGGGUUCGACUCCCAUCAUGCCCU